GAGGGGGACGCUACCAUGCAGUCGAGCGGUAGCACAGAGAGCUUGCUCUCGGGUGACGAGCGGCGGACGGGUGAGUAAUGUCUGGGAAACUGCCUGAUGGAGGGGGAUAACUACUGGAAACGGUAGCUAAUACCGCAUAAUGUCGCAAGACCAAAGUGGGGGACCUUCGGGCCUCAUGCCAUCAGAUGUGCCCAGAUGGGAUUAGCUAGUAGGUGGGGUAACGGCUCACCUAGGCGACGAUCCCUAGCUGGUCUGAGAGGAUGACCAGCCACACUGGAACUGAGACACGGUCCAGACUCCUACGGGAGGCAGCAGUGGGGAAUAUUGCACAAUGGGCGCAAGCCUGAUGCAGCCAUGCCGCGUGUGUGAAGAAGGCCUUCGGGUUGUAAAGCACUUUCAGCGGGGAGGAAGGCGUUAAGGUUAAUAACCUUGUCGAUUGACGUUACCCGCAGAAGAAGCACCGGCUAACUCCGUGCCAGCAGCCGCGGUAAUACGGAGGGUGCAAGCGUUAAUCGGAAUUACUGGGCGUAAAGCGCACGCAGGCGGUCUGUCAAGUCGGAUGUGAAAUCCCCGGGCUCAACCUGGGAACUGCAUUCGAAACUGGCAGGCUAGAGUCUUGUAGAGGGGGGUAGAAUUCCAGGUGUAGCGGUGAAAUGCGUAGAGAUCUGGAGGAAUACCGGUGGCGAAGGCGGCCCCCUGGACAAAGACUGACGCUCAGGUGCGAAAGCGUGGGGAGCAAACAGGAUUAGAUACCCUGGUAGUCCACGCCGUAAACGAUGUCGAUUUGGAGGUUGUGCCCUUGAGGCGUGGCUUCCGGAGCUAACGCGUUAAAUCGACCGCCUGGGGAGUACGGCCGCAAGGUUAAAACUCAAAUGAAUUGACGGGGGCCCGCACAAGCGGUGGAGCAUGUGGUUUAAUUCGAUGCAACGCGAAGAACCUUACCUGGUCUUGACAUCCACAGAACUUUCCAGAGAUGGAUUGGUGCCUUCGGGAACUGUGAGACAGGUGCUGCAUGGCUGUCGUCAGCUCGUGUUGUGAAAUGUUGGGUUAAGUCCCGCAACGAGCGCAACCCUUAUCCUUUGUUGCCAGCGGUUAGGCCGGGAACUCAAAGGAGACUGCCAGUGAUAAACUGGAGGAAGGUGGGGAUGACGUCAAGUCAUCAUGGCCCUUACGACCAGGGCUACACACGUGCUACAAUGGCAUAUACAAAGAGAAGCGACCUCGCGAGAGCAAGCGGACCUCAUAAAGUAUGUCGUAGUCCGGAUUGGAGUCUGCAACUCGACUCCAUGAAGUCGGAAUCGCUAGUAAUCGUAGAUCAGAAUGCUACGGUGAAUACGUUCCCGGGCCUUGUACACACCGCCCGUCACACCAUGGGAGUGGGUUGCAAAAGAAGUAGGUAGCUUAACCUUCGGGAGGGCGCUACCACUUUGUUACA
rnacentral:rRNA from 1 species